rnacentral:rRNA from 1 species
AUUGAACGCUAGCGGCAGGCCUAACACAUGCAAGUCGAACGGUAGCACAGGAGAGCUUGCUCUCUGGGUGACGAGUGGCGGACGGGUGAGUAAUGCAUGGGGAGCUGCCCAAUCGAGGGGGAUACCAGCUGGAAACGGCUGCUAAUACCGCAUACGCCCUGAGGGGGAAAGGUGGGGACCUUCGGGCCUACCGCGAUUGGAUGCACCCAUGUGGGAUUAGCUAGUUGGUGAGGUAACGGCUCACCAAGGCGACGAUCUCUAGCUGGUCUGAGAGGAGGACCAGGCACACUGGAACUGAGCCGCGGUCCAGACUCCUACGGGAGGCAGCAGUGGGGAAUAUUGCACAAUGGGGGAAACCCUGAUGCAGCCAUGCCGCGUGUGUGAAGAAGGCCUUCGGGUUGUAAAGCACUUUCAGUGGGGAGGAAGGGUUGAUGUCUAAUACGCAUCAGCAUUGACGUUACCCACAGAAGAAGCACCGGCUAACUCCGUGCCAGCAGCCGCGGUAA